rnacentral:rRNA from 1 species
CCUACGGGAGGCAGCAGUAGGGAAUAUUGCUCAAUGGGGGAAACCCUGAAGCAGCAACGCCGCGUGGAGGAUGAAGGUUUUCGGAUUGUAAACUCCUUUUGAUAGAGAAGAUAAUGACGGCAUUUAACGAAUAAGCACCGGCGAACUCCGUGCCAGCAGCCGCGGUAAUACGGAGGGUGCAAGCGUUACUCGGAAUCACUGGGCGUAAAGGGCGCGUAGGCGGGAUAGCAAGUCAGAUGUGAAAUCCUAUGGCUUAACCAUAGAACUGCAUUUGAAACUGUUAGUCUAGAGUAUGGGAGAGGUAGGUGGAAUUCGUGGUGUAGGGGUGAAAUCCGUAGAGAUCAAGAGGAAUACUCAUUGCGAAGGCGACCUGCUAGAACAUAACUGACGCUGAUGCGCGAAAGCGUGGGGAGCAAACAGGAUUAGAUACCCUAGUAGUC